GCCCCCACGUGUAGGUGGAGUGGGGGGGGGUGCCAGCAAGAGGCUUCAAACUGUGGGCUGAGAGCAGAGUGGGGUUGCACAAGUCGCAGCUGGAUGAUGGAGUCUGGGCCUACGAUGGUUAAGGGAGGGCAACUGGAGGAACAUGGAAACGGGGGAGGGGGGGAAGACUUGAGGGUGAGGAGAGCACCAGGGCUCUGCCACUAAUGUCCUAGGAUGUUGGGCAAGUCACCCACACUCCCUGGGCCUCAGUUUCUCCAUCUGUAAAAUGAUGGUAAUAAUACUUCACCUACCUCAUGGGGGAGGUUGUGAGGCCACCAUCACCUGACCAAGGGGAUCAAGGCAGGAGGGGCUCUGAAGGUGCUACCCAGAGCAAAGUUGUUGCUGACGCCUGAAAGCAAGGCCACCUGCCCGUCCACCCUACCCCACAGAGCCUCUAGGGACCGCCAGAGCCAAUCUGUCUCUUCACUGUGUCCCAACCCCCUUUAAGAGCAUCAUCUGACAUCUUGUGGGCACCCUAGACUAGUUGUUAUGUUGUUUAGGUAGCCUUUCCUGUGACCAUCUUCUUUGUGUAACUGCUAUACAAUUCCACCUGCCCCAGCACACCCCUCCACCUGCCCUCCAGCACCAGAGGCCAGGGAAGGGACAAAGGAAAACAGCCACAAAAGAAAAAAAAAAAAAAAAGCCAAGGGGACUCCCAGCUCAGCUGGAACCCCCAGGGGUGGGAACUGGUGGCGCUGUUUGUAUUGUGUUUGAGUCCUUGAGCGCAAGUGUUUUAUAAAAAAUAAAACAAAAAUCCACUAUCACAAAAAAAAAAAAGAAAAAAAUACAGCAAAGAGAACUGAAGACAAAAGGGAAAAAGAACCAUACGAUUUUUCCACCAUAUGCACCCUCUAAGCCAGCAAAAUUUUCCUCUUUGCAAAAUCAUAUUUUUGUGGGAAUGGGCCCUGCUUUUUGUGGCAAGGCCUGUUCUGAUUAAUAAAGGAUCGUGAAAAAGUA
rnacentral:lncRNA from 1 species